ensembl:lncRNA
GGGAAAUCUCAAGACAGAGAGAGGGCAGUGUCCCGGCUCCAGGCCACUUGGGCUCGCAUUCACCUUCGCUGCCAACCGGAGGGAAAUGGAAACUCCUGCCUGGGCGUGAAGCAAUGACCAAAGGGCGCCGCUCCUCCGUCGCCGCCGCAGCAGAAGCCGCCGCCGCCGCCACCGAGUCCUCCAUCCCCGCCGGAGCCACAUGGAACAGCCGAGCCAGCCGCGGCGCUCCCGGGAGCCGGGGUCUGCAGCCCCUCAGGCGGACAGCGCGCCUCACGCCCGCCCCCUCCCGGACGCAGUAGCCCCGCGACCGUCCCCCACCCUACAAAACCCUGCCAGAGCCGCCGCUCAGCGCCCAGCACCCCCUCCCCCGCCUUUCUCCUCCGCCACCAUCAUCAUUACCUCCCCCGCCGCACCUCUCACACUAACCCUACCCACGGCGGCUCAACCUCCGUCCGCCCCGCCGCCAUUGGCUGGGCCCUGCACUUUCCCCGCCCACCUCGGCGACCGGGCCUUUGAGGGGCAGGGGCCACUCAUUGGCCGAGCAGGGUGCCCAUCACAGAGCUCCACCCCCUAGUUCUGGAGGUGUUUUUCCGCCAGGCGGAACGCGGCGUACGAUCUACCCUUCUUUAAAAAAAAAAAAAAAUUGAAACCCUCUACGGACAAUCCCUCCCAUUCCUCUGAUUGGCUUCAAGAGGGAAGAGCUAGGUGGGAGGAGUAAAGAGUGUUUAUAGUGAUCUGGAAGGUGGUUGCUGAAGGUGGAUGUCGGUCAAAGGUGCUGGGCGGGGUUUAUAGCGGGAGUCAGAGCAGAGCCCGGGACUGGCUUCGCUGCAGCUGUGAGCUGUGAGGCUGCUGUGGUUUUUCUCUCCUGUUCUCUCCUAUCCCCACCCUAGGAGUUGGGUGUGCCCUCUCUGCCACUAGUUGCUAGGCAUCAUCCACAUCUACAAACCACCAAUUACAUUAUAUUGUGACCCUUGAUGGAUCUCUCUUCCCUCGAGAGUAAAAGUUUGACUGGAUGGAUGCCUAUCAGUAAAUGCUCAGUUAUAAGGAAAUAUUGAGGGCAUUGACGGACUCAGUGGGGAUCCAAGAAGUUAGCAAGCUUUAGAAUGUACCAUCUGAAACAUCAUGAC